UACGGGGGGGGCUAGCGUUAAUCGGAAUUACUGGGCGUAAAGCGUGCGCAGGCGGUUAUGUAAGACAGGUGUGAAAUCCCCGGGCUCAACCUGGGAAUGGCGAUGAAGACUGCAAGGCUAGAAUCUGGCAGAGGGGGGUAGAAUUCCACGUGUAGCAGUGAAAUGCGUAGAGAUGUGGAGGAACACCGAUGGCGAAGGCAGCCCCUGGGUCAAGAUUGACGCUCAUGCACGGAAAGCGUGGGGAGCAAACAGG
rnacentral:rRNA from 1 species